UACGUAGGGUGCAAGCGUUGUCCGGAAUUAUUGGGCGUAAAGGGCGCGUAGGCGCCUUCUAAGUCAGACGUGAAAUCCCUCGGCUCAACCGAGGAACUGCGUCUGAUACUGGAAGGCUUGAAUCCGGGAGAGGGAUGUGGAAUUCCAGGUGUAGCGGUGAAAUGCGUAGAUAUCUGGAGGAACACCGGUGGCGAAGGCGGCAUCCUGGACCGGUAUUGACGCGUGAGGCGCGAAAGCUAGGGGAGCAAACGGG
rnacentral:rRNA from 1 species